rnacentral:lncRNA from 1 species
UCUGUGUCUGUGUUCAAGUAACUAACUCCUCUUGGCAACUCAAAGGAGAGCUUUAGGUAAACAAGUCAAACUAUCUUCUUGUUUAUACCUUUUUUGGAGAAAAAGUGAGAGUGCUGUAAUUUUAAAAAAAUUAGAACAGUAACAAUGUCAUCUUGAAUUUACAAAGUGCAGGAGUUCUCAGAUCUGUGAUUUCAAGUCUUCCAACAACUCUUUUUGGGUGGGAGUAGUCAGGAGUCUGUGCUGUGGUUGAAGCCCAGGUUGGCCGUCGGGAGCUGAAAUAGAGGCCAGGACUCCUGGCUCCCCGUCCAGACUCUGAGGACCCAGGAGCCUCCAUGGGUACACUCAGAGGCCACACUAGAUGCAAAAAGAACCAUUUACAGAGAAGUGAGAGGUUCUCAAAGGCUCAACCAAAUGCCUCUGCCAGGAGAAUCUUUCAGAGUGUCCUGGAACAUUGGAAAUAGGCUUAAAGCUUAAAUGAUGAAUCAGAAGAGUUAUGCUGUAUUCUAAUGCUGCCACUAGGGCCACACAGGGUGCCAACAUCCAAUCUCAAGAUCUUCGGGAAAUAUGCUCACCCUCCAAAAUACUUACAGAUGUGUCUCCUCUUUUUUGUAAAAUAAAUGCUCUUCUUAUAUUUGGUGUUUCCUUGGUAUGGCCACAAGAUUAUUUAGUAUGACAUAUUUAAUGGUGAAGAUAAAGAUUUCCAUUUGAUUUCAGUGGACUUUGAAGAUGGAUCACCUCUCUCAUUCAG